UACGUAGGGGGCGAGCGUUGUCCGGAUUUAUUGGGCGUAAAGAGCUCGUAGGCGGCUUGGCAAGUCGGGUGUGAAACCUCCAGGCUCAACCUGGAGACGCCACUCGAUACUGCUAUGGCUAGAGUCCGGUAGGGGACCACGGAAUUCCUGGUGUAGCGGUGAAAUGCGCAGAUAUCAGGAGGAACACCGGUGGCGAAGGCGGGUCUCUGGGCAAUAACUGACGCUGAGGAGCGAAAGCGUGGGGAGCGAACAGG
rnacentral:rRNA from 1 species